rnacentral:rRNA from 1 species
UACGAAGGGGGCUAGCGUUGUUCGGAAUUACUGGGCGUAAAGCGUGCGCAGGCGGCUUCUCAAGUCAGGGGUGAAAGCCCAGAGCUCAACUCUGGAAUUGCCUUUGAGACUGAGUGGCUUGAGUACGAGAGAGGUGAGCGGAAUUCCCGGUGUAGAGGUGAAAUUCGUAGAUAUCGGGAAGGAACACCGGUGGCGAAGGCGGCGAUCUGGGUCGAUACUGACGCUGAGGUGGCGAAAAGCGUGGGGAGCAAACAGG